AUUGAACGCUGGCGGCAGGCCUAACACAUGCAAGUCGGACGGUAGCACAGAGAGCUUGCUCUUGGGUGACGAGUGGCGGACGGGUGAGUAAUGUCUGGGGAUCUGCCCGAUAGAGGGGGAUAACCACUGGAAACGGUGGCUAAUACCGCAUAACGUCGCAAGACCAAAGAGGGGGACCUCCGGGCCUCUCACUAUCGGAUGAACCCAGAUGGGAUUAGCUAGUAGGCGGGGUAAUGGCCCACCUAGGCGACGAUCCCUAGCUGGUCUGAGAGGAUGACCAGCCACACUGGAACUGAGACACGGUCCAGACUCCUACGGGAGGCAGCAGUGGGGAAUAUUGCACAAUGGGCGCAAGCCUGAUGCAGCCAUGCCGCGUGUAUGAAGAAGGCCUUCGGGUUGUAAAGUACUUUCAGCGGGGAGGAAGGCGGUGCGGUUAAUAACCGCGCCGAUUGACGUUACCCGCAGAAGAAGCACCGGCUAACUCCGUGCCAGCCGCCGCAGUAA
rnacentral:rRNA from 1 species